UACGUAGGUGGCUAGCGUUGUCCGGAUUUACUGGGCGUAAAGAGCGCGCAGGCGGUCGUUCAAGUCGCGUGUGAAAGCCCCCGGCUCAACUGGGGAGGGUCACUCGAUACUGAUCGACUCGAAGGCAGAAGAGGGAAGCGGAAUUCCCGGUGUAGUGGUGAAAUGCGUAGAUAUCGGGAGGAACACCAGUGGCGAAGGCGGCUACCUGGCCCAUUCUUGACGCUGAGGCGCGAAAGCUAGGGGAGCAAACGGG
rnacentral:rRNA from 1 species